UCCAGAUCCAGAAGGUCAAAGCUCGUUCUUUGCACUCUCAGUACUUAGGCUUCUAAGCACUAAGCUUGCUAUGGCGAUUUGGUUUGGGCUUGUUGCCAUGUUUGUGAUGAUGCUGCUGGCCAUGGGAGUGGGCGGAGGAGUUGCAAAGGUUGCUGCCCAGCGCUGCCAGAGAGGACGGUAUUGGUAUGACAAUAGUUGCCACCGUUUCCAGAAAAACUGGCAUCGGUAUGGAAGCUGCUGUCGAUGUCAGAAUGAUUUGAGCCGGAAUGGCCACUGCGGGCGAAACUGAGAUUAGGUAAAUCUGGUUGCCAAAAAAAAAAACUAAAUAGAAUAAAGUGAUGAGGGCUCUCACUGGGGAAUGUGAUUUUCUUUACCGAGCUUUUAUGGUACCAGGAUGUCCAGUCCAGAGAUUUCUCGAGCAGCCAGAGAAUUCGAAGCCUGCUACUUGUCCAUUAUCUGUGGUACUAUUAUCGGAACCAAUUUGUCAACGAAUCUGAUCCUUCCCAGGACCAAGUCUCCAAGUCUAAUGCGGUGUGCGUCCGCCAAAAAUGCACCUAGAAACUUGCUCGGUCGUUGCAAGGGCGACUAUAUACUACCUCAACUCCAAAAUAAAUAUUUACUAAACAUGUCUGAUGCCCUAUGACCUUCAUAUAAACAGUUCAUCUAUCUUAAAGACUUAGGUUGUUCUUUUUACUUGCAGUAGCAGAAGGGAUCUGGUCCUAGUUACACUUCAUAACUUGAAUUGAGAACGAAUGAAGGUUAUAGACAUAACAUCACCAACAUGAAGAAAUACAGGUGAGAUUUCUGAUGUUUUUUGCCAUCAUAGGUGACCUAGAUUCGAUCUUUGGGGAGAAGCAAAGACAAAGUCCUCUGUCAUUUCACGAUUGGGGGAGAACGCCAACUCAAUGAGCCAGCAG
rnacentral:lncRNA from 1 species